rnacentral:rRNA from 1 species
AGUGAACGCUGGCGGUAGGCCUAACACAUGCAAGUCGAACGGCAGCACAGUAAGAGCUUGCUCUUACGGGUGGCGAGUGGCGGACGGGUGAGGAAUACAUCGGAAUCUACUUUUUCGUGGGGGAUAACGUAGGGAAACUUACGCUAAUACCGCAUACGACCUACGGGUGAAAGCAGGGGAUCUUCGGACCUUGCGCGAUUGAAUGAGCCGAUGUCGGAUUAGCUAGUUGGCGGGGUAAAGGCCCACCAAGGCGACGAUCCGUAGCUGGUCUGAGAGGAUGAUCAGCCAAACUGGAACUGAGACACGGUCCAGACCCCUACGGGAGGCAGCAGUGGGGAAUAUUGGACAAUGGGCGCAAGCCUGAUCCAGCCAUACCGCGUGGGUGAAGAAGGCCUUCGGGUUGUAAAGCCCUUUUGUUGGGAAAGAAAAGCAGCAGGUUAAUACCCCGCUGUUCUGACGGUACCCAAAGAAUAAGCACCGGCUAACUUCGUG